UUUCUAAAAGUAGCUUGUGUCAUGUACAAUAACUAGAAAUAUAUCCUUGUUAAUGGAUUGAUUUCUAAAAGUAGCUUGUGUCAUGUACAAUAACUAGAAAUAUAUCCUUGUUAAUGGAUUGAUUUCUAAAAGUAGCUUGUGUCAUGUACAAUAACUAGAAAUAUAUCCUUGUUAAUGGAUUGAUUUCUAAAGUAGCUUGUGUCAUGUACAAUAACUAGAAAUAUAUCCUUGUUAAUGGAUUGAUUUCUAAAGUAGCUUGUGUCAUGUACAAUAACUAGUAAUAUAUCCUUGUUAAUGGGUUCAAUUCUAAAAGUAGCUUGUGUCAUGUACAAUAACUAGAUAUAUAUCCUUGUUAAUGGGUUCAAUUCUAAAAGUAGCUUGUGUCCUGUACAAUAACUAGAAAUAUAUCCUUGUUAAUUGAUUAAUUUCUAACAGUAGCCUGUGUCAUGUACAAUAACAAGAAAUAUAUCCUUGUUAAUGGAUUGAUUUCUAAAAGUAGGUUGUGUCAUGUACAAUAACUAGAUAUAUAUCCUUGUUAAUGGGUUCAAUUCUAAAAGUAGCUUGUGUCCUGUACAAUAACUAGAAAUAUAUCCUUGUUAAUUGAUUAAUUUCUAACAGUAGCCUGUGUCAUGUACAAUAACAAGAAAUAUAUCCUUGUUAAUGGAUUGAUUUCUAAAAGUAGCUUGUGUCAUGUACAAUAACUAGAUACUAGUAUAUAUCUUUAUCAUUGGUGUGAUUCCUAAUAAUAUUUGGUGUCACAUGAAACAUCUACAGUUAUAUCCUCAUCACUGGAGUAAUUUCUAAUAGUAAUAGGUAUUUUAUAUAACUCUAGAAGUAUACCCUCAUCACUGAAGUGAUUUCUAUCAGUAAUUGGUAUCAUGUAAACAACUAGAAAUACAUCUUUAUGAUAGUAGUUGGUGCCAUAUAACACAUGCAGAAAUAUAACUCUUACAAAAAGAGGAACAAAUAUGAUGUAAAGGUAUCAAAUAACACAACUUGGUUAAAUCAACUAAAUGAAAUUUUUUAAUCAUGUUGGCACAAUUUUACAUCCCGUUUUUCACUUCUAACCUAUUUGUUGAACUUAACUCAUGAUUAAAGCUUGGAAUCUAGAAAAUUACAUUUUGGGGGGUUUUGCAGCCAUUUUGGAUUUAGCCUCGCUCUGAGUUUAAGCUUCCAAACCGACAUGGCCAUCAUACACUUGUGAUAUGUGGUAACCAUAACAACUUCAAAAACACAACUUUAAGUGUUUGGUCCCUCUGAAUGGUACCGAAUUGCCUGUCUCCUCGCCUUAUUGGUGUCAACAGUGGUGUCAUGUAAGCAACUAGAAAUAUAUUCUUAUGAUCAGAGUGAUUUCUAAUAGUAGUUAGUGUCUUAUGAAAACAUGUAGAAAUAUACUUUUUCAUUUGAGUGAUUUUUAAUAGUAUUUCAUAUCAUGUAAACUAUCUGACCAGAGCAGUUGCUGCACAACCGCAAUGCUACCAGCUGUUUGAGAAAUGUGGAGUGCAAGUUGCCACUGGCCUUUUUGUUGUUGCUUAUUUCUUAAGAUUGCCUCAUUAACUUUGCAUACUCAUUGGCUUUGCGUACUCAUAACCUUUGCAUGCUGUUGUGCUUGUGAUGUCUUAGAAAUAAAUAAUAGUCUCGUCA